CCCCUGCACAUCCAUCCCCGUCACAUCCCAACCGAGCCGGCACCUGCCUCGCCCGGGCUCCCGGCUCUCUGAUCCCCCUCCCCCCACCACUCUCAAUUCCAUCCCAGUGUCGACCUCCAUCGCCCUUCCGAGACAGAGGAGCAGCAGUAGCAGCAGUAGCAGCAGCAGCAGGAGAAGGGGUUGGGUGAGGAAGGUGGGAGGGAGGGAGGGAGAGGCGGGUGGCGGCGAAUCGCCCACAACCACAACAACAUUUAUUCAUCUGCUGCAAAGACGCCCAUGACCGUGGCCGUGUGAUCAUCAUGAGCAAGGGACGAGGAGGCGGAGAUCCGGGGCCGACCACCGGCAUCAUCAGCAGCAGCAUCAUCAGCAGCAGCGGCAUCAUCAGCAGCAGCAGCGGCGGCGGCAGAGAUGAAGGGGGUGCUAGGAACGGAGGCCCCGAGGAAGUGGAGCCGGCGUGGAGGGAUGCGGAGAAGCGCUUCCAUGCGCUCACGCCGACGCGCAGUCCGCGCACGCCGAAGCCCCAGCACGCCAUCACGAUCGCCGUGUCGUCCCGAUCGCUCUUCGACAUGUCCCUGGAGCGCGACAUCUUCGACUCGCAGGGCGUGGAGGAGUACGUGCGCUACCAGACGGAGCACGAGGAGGAGCCGCUCCCCAAGGGGCCCGCCUUCCCCUUCGUGCAGGCGCUGGAGAACGUGAACGUUCGCUUGCGGGAGCUCUACCCGCAGAGCGACGAGCUCUUCGACAUCCUCCUCAUCUCGCACAACCACGCGCAGGUCGGCGUGCGGUUCAUCAACUCCAUCAACCACUACGGUCUCAACAUCGAGCGCUUCUGCCUGACGGGAGGGAACAGCCCCAUCGGGUACCUGGAGGCCUACAACACCAAUCUCUACCUGUCGGCCGACGAGGAGAAGGUGCAGGAGGCCCUGGCGGAAGGCAUCGCGGCGGCCACAAUGUUCAGCCCCGGCGCGGGGAUACAGGUGGCGCCCGGGACAAAGCAGCUGCGUGUGGCGUUUGACGGUGACGCGGUGCUCUUCUCGGAUGAGUCGGAGAGGAUCGUCAAGGAGCACGGCCUCGACUCCUUCUUCGAGCAUGAGAAGAAGAACGUCGACCAGCCCCUCUCGCAGGGCCCCUUCAAGGGCUUCGCGGAGGCCCUGGGGCGGAUCCAGCGCAAGUUCUACGCCAAGGGUGAGCGCCUCACCUGCCCGAUCCGCACGUACCUGGUGACGGCGCGCAGCGCGGCCAGUUCGGGCGGCCGUGCGCUCAAGACCCUGCGCAGCUGGGGCCUGGAGCUGGACGAGGCGCUCUUCCUCGCCGGCGCGCCCAAGGGGCCGCUGCUCGAGAAGAUCCGCCCGCACAUCUUCUUCGACGACCAGAUGUUCCACAUCGAGGGCGCCAAGGAGCACGGCACGGUGGCGGCGCACGUCCCAUUCGGCGUCUCGCAGAGGAGGAGCCGCCAGGCCACUCCACCCCGAGAUCCCGCAUAGGGGUCACGGAUUAGGGUCAGCGGAGCGGGCCCAGUGCUUGUCCAUGCUGUGGUUCAGCCUCCGCAUGGCAGUAAUCUUCACAAGAUCACGACUGAGAUGCUCACCGAGUUAAAGAUGGAACGUUGGGUGAACGUUGGUCCAACUGUUGCAACCAAACCACAUGCCAACGUCCCCUGUUUACUGGGCUACAACACUGGUGGCUUAGCCGUGAAAGCCCCACGGGGUGUUCAGAUGGUGUGGCGUGACCCGUCUCUGCAGGCGACUCAUUGGGCCAGAGUGAACAUCAAUACAGUAUGUAUCUCGCCUCUCAUUUCGGGGGCGGGGAGCGAUGGGGAAUGGGGUAGAGGUCGCCUUUGAAAAUGUUUGGUGGCUUUGUUGAUCUACGGUGCGGUGGUGAAUUAUGGAAGUAAUGAUCCCACGGUGAGAUGUAUUUUUGAAAUCUCUGGACACCCAUGAAUCCUGCAUCCCGCGGCCCCACAUCUGCCUGGCCACAUUGGUCCAAGGGAAUCUAAUAAUACAUAUUAUAAAUGUCGUUUAUUUAUCCAGGAAAGCCUCGCAGAGACCCGUCACUCAAUAUCAGGAAGGACUUGCCACGCGUUGGGAUAUUUGGCCGUUUCGACGUAAAAAGCUCCGCACAGACAAGAUUCAUUAAUCCACCACCAUCUCAUGGCUACUUUGUUUCUCAGGCCUACACCACCAAGUCACACAUCCAUCAAAAUACUCAACGGGUUCAACCCCGCUUAGCAUCCAAGAUGUGAUGAGAUCGUGGUGCAAUCAACUCAGGAGAACUUGGUCGUACAGGCGCUAUCAUGCACGUCUCUGUGUUGCUACUGUCUCUGUGCCUGCUAUUUUCAUUAACACUAAUUAAAACACCACCUCUCUGCCUUCCCACGCCGAAUUUUAAUCAUCAGAGAACACGGCUCCUCCUGUAUGGGAACAUCUUCUACACAGCGUUUGUCGUUCAUUUCCUUGAUGAGGUUUUUUUUAGAUGCUCUAUAUAAGACAUGCGACAAGCAGUAACUUGUCUGGUUUAUCAGUGCAAAUCCCACGAUCUUGAACACGGAUGAAUGGGUACACGAUCGUGUCGUGUUUGCGAUCACCUACACCAAACGCUGCUUCAAAUAAUCAGCUCGGUGUGUCACGACAACGGCUUCCCUCUCACACUCCAUUCCCACCACAGCGCGUCUUCUAUACCAAGUUUACCAAAUGUCCCUCCUUUCCGAUGCAAAGUCGUAACACGCUUCACGCGCCCGAUGAUUGUUACACACGCCCCACGUGGCGCAGAGGAUGGCUCUUGAUUCGUUUGAAUGGAUGCUGGAGAUGCCACGUGGAACGCACACACACACACACACGUGUACGCACAUUCUCAGACUACGUGCAGCGUAUAACAUUUUUUCAUUUGUAUUAAUACUUGAAAGGGGGUAAUCCUUGUUUCCGUACGGCGAGCGCAGUUCCAGGGUCUCUGGCCCCAAUACCUGGACCCAAUUCUCCCGUCGCAGAUGUUCAGCAUCUAUCCUUGAGUUUGAGACAAUCUUGCAACAGACUUAGAACGUUGUAGCUCCUAACAGCCGACCCUGGGUGUGAUUCGGCGCGGCGCGUUCGUGAUGGACUGGACUCAUCAUACAAAGAGUGCUCGGUAACGAAUGUUCAGACUCGCUUACUGGAGCGCUGGGUAAACUCUGAAGGUUCAACCGUGGGGUGGUCGAGAGGACUGAAGCUUAGGGACCAGAGGUCGCAAACGGGUUUUGAUUCCCUACCCGUACCCGUACCCGGCCGCACCAGGGUCGCAAACGGGUACCCGUACCCGAUCGGGUACGGGUAGCCGGGUAUCGGGUAGGGUACGGGUAUCGGAUACCCGGUUGCGACCUCUGUUAGGGACCCUGCGCCUAGGAACAGCAACGUGCGCACAGCCAAUCGACUUUUACUCAACCCACGACGGGCAUGGCCGAGCUUGUGUACUUAUCACACGUGUCCUGCUUGCGUGAAAGACACGAAUUAUGACGUAUGACAUCAUAGCUUUAAUAAUGCAUAGGUUGCACCUCUGAACUAUGACAAGCGGAAAUAGAAAGGUUAUUACGUGACAUCGCUGUGUGUAUAAUGACGCGUGCGAAUAUUGAUGUUGCUGUGCAUGUAGGUGGAUACUACGCUGUUGUGGUUGUUUGGCCACAGCCAUCAGAAGAGCCAGCGCAAAUCUACCUUUGACGAAUCGAGGCGCUGUGGCUUGCUGACUUAUUUAUUUGCGGUUAAUUAAAAUUGUUCUUUGUUGUAAAGCCUUGAAAUUGUUUUACUGCACAUGUUGUUAUUUCUUUUGCGAACAUAUCACGUACGGCAAAGGCAUUGUUACAUUUUUAGCAGGCUGGCAAAUAACAUCAUUUCAAUGAUGUCGAUGACUGCCUUUCACCCAGAACUGUCCGGGGAUAAUCUGUGAAAAAUAUUCCCCGGUGUAAAGAGGUGGGGUUAAUGGGCUCCGGAAUUAUUCACGAGAUAUGAACCCUCCUACAGCUUGAUGAUAGUGACGACGAUGCUAAUGUUGAAGAA